AAGUUACAAAAAUGCUUAUUUUUGGCCCCUUUUUGGCCCCUAAUUCCUUAACUGUUGGUACCAUAACCCCCAAAAUCAAUCCCCACCUUCCUUUUGUGGUAUUGAACCUUAUGGUAAAAUUUCAUGGAGAUCCAUUCACUUAAACUAAAGUUAGAGUGCGAAAACCAAUGCGUCUUCGGACGACGCCGGACGACGCCAGACGACGACGACGACGACGACGACGACAACGACGACGACGACGACGACGACGCCAACGUCAUACCAAUAUACGACCAAAAAAUUUCAAUUUUUGCGGUCGUAUAAAAACAGCAAAAUCACCUUAAAAUUACCAAUUCAGGGGCAGCAACCCAACAACGGGUUGUCCGAAUCAUCUGAAAAUUUCAGGGCAGAUAGAUCUUGACCUGAUAAACAAUUUUACUUCAUGUCAGAUUUGCUUUAAAUGCUUUGGUUUUUGAGUUAAAAGCCAAAAACUGAAUUUUACCCCUAUGUUCUAUUUUUAGCCGUGGCGGCCAUCUUGGUUGGUUGACCAGGUCACGCCACACAUUUUUAAAACUAGAUAACCAAAUGAUGAUUGUGGCCAAGUUUGGUUUAAUUUGGCCACGGAGUUUCAGAGGAGAAGAUUUUUGUAAAAGAUUACUAAGAUUUACGAAAAAUUGUUAAAAAUUGACUAUAAAGGGCAAUAACUCCUAAAGGGGUCAACUGACCAUUUCAGUCAUGUUGACUUAUUUAUUAAUCUAACUUUGCUGAACAUUAUUGCUGUUUACAGUUUAUCUCUAUCUAUAAUAAUAUUCAAGAUAAUAACCAAUAAAAUGCUUCGCUGGGGCGCAGCUUGAUACGACCGCAGAGGUCGAACCCUGAACAGUUGGGGCAAGUAUGGACACAACAUUCAAGCUUGAUACAGCUCUGAAUUUGGAUUGUGAUUAAAUAUUUGACACAGCAUAGGUUUCUGACACAGAAAGAAUGUGGUCUAAGAACUUCAAUUUUUUUAAUUUACCUAUUAUGGUCCAAUGUCCAAAAUCAAAAUACAUGGUUAGAUUCAGCAUAUCAAAGAACCCCAUAUAUUCAAUUUUUGUUGAAAUCAAACAAAGUUUAAUUUUGGACCCCAACUUGGACAAACUUGAAAACUGGUCCCAUAAUCAAAAAUCUAAACACAUGUUUAGAUUCAGCAUAUCAAAGUACCCGAAGAAUUCAAUUUUUGUUAAAAUCAAACUAAGUUUAAUUUUGGACCCUUUGGACCUUAAUGUAGACAAAUUUAAAAAACGGGUACCUUAAUUAAAAAUCUAAAAACACAGUUAGAUUUGGCAUAUCAAAGAACCCCAAUAAUUCAAUUUUUGAUGAAAUCAAACAAAGUUUAAUUUUGGACCCUUUUGACCUCAAUAUGAACCAAUUUGAUAGCGGGCCCACAAAUAAAAAAUCUAAAUACAUGGUAAGAUUCAGCAUAUCAAAGAACCCCAUAUAUUCAAUUUUUGUUGAAAUCAAACAAAGUUUAAUUUUGGACCCCAAUUUGGACCAACUUGAAAACUGGGCCAAAAAUCUAAAAUCUAAAUACAUGUUUAGAUUCAGCAUAUCAAAGAACCCCAUAUAUUCAAUUUUUGUUGAAAUCAAACAAAGUUUAAUUUUGGACCCCAACUUGGACCAACUUGAAAACUGGGCCCAUAAUCAAAAAUCUAAACACAUGUUUAGAUUCAGCAUAUCAAAGAACCCUAAGAAUUCAAUUUUUGUUAAAAUCAAACUAAGUUUAAUUUUGGACCCUUUGGACCUUAAUGUAGACAAAUUUAAAAAACGGGACCCAAAAUUAAAAAUCUAAAUACACGGUUAGAUUCGGCAUAUCAAAGAACCCCAAUAAUUUAAUUUUUGAUGAAAUCAAACAAAGUUUAAUUUUGGACCCUUUGGACCUCAAUGUGGACCAAUUUAAAAACGGGGCCCAAAAUCCAAAAACUUAAUACACGGUUAGAUUCAGCAUAUUAAAGAACCCCAAGAAUUCAAGAAUAAAACCCCAUUGAAAUUGAUCAAGAAAUAAGCAAUUUAUACGAAGUAUCUUCUUUUGCACAAUACUGUGCAAUUGAAUAUUUCUUGCUAUUGCGCAAUACUGUACAAUUGACAAUUUCUUGCUAUUGCGCAAUAUUGUGCUACUGGAUAUUUCUUGCUAUUGCGCAAUACUGUUAAAUUGAAGAUUUCUUGCUAUUGCGCAAUACUGUGCAAUUGAAGAUUUCUUGCUAUUGUGCAAUACUGCGCAAUUGAAAAUUUCUUGCUAUUGCACAAUACUUAUUAUAUAAUAAUUUACACAUCCUGUUUGGUGUGUAUCUCCUACCAUAUCAUUAUUAUUUGCUUUUAAAUAUAAAUCAGAAAUAACCAACUUAAAAUGGAAAAUUUUAAAAGAAAAAAAAAAGGAAAAAAAGAAAAAAAAAGAAAAAAAAAAAAUUCCCCCCCCCAAAUGUUUUGAACC